GUGGAGUUUUUGCUGGGACAGGCUCAGAUACACAGAAAAUGGACAUAACAUUGUUCUGUUUGCUCCAUGUUUAGAGAAGGAAACCUUUCACUUUCCUGCUAAAGAGGGUCUUUAGUAUCUGGGGUUUUCAUAUAUUUCAAGUCAAGCAUGUGAAAAGUCUGUUACCUUUCUAGGCCAUGCUGCGAACGGAAGACAGAUUGACGGUAACUUGAAAGGGUGGCUGAAAUAAGCCUACAUCCUCAUCAGACCUCUCUAGAUGAUAAGGUGGGAUUUGUUGUGGAAGGAGGGACUCUUAGUCAUGAAGUGGCAGAGAGAAGGGCUGAGAUCCAGGGCAACCCUCCUGCAGAGAAACAGAGGAAUCUGUACCCAGUGUGGCUAUACUGGAGUUAUCACAGAGGUGCAGGGAUGUUACCCCUAAUUGUCUAACUUUGUAUGUUGGUUUAGGGAUUUUUUUAGCAGAGGAAAGCUCAAGAAACUAGCUCUGAAGGAGAUAACCUUCUCAGCUGAAGUAAUGAUCACUUUCUAGAAAGGAUGAAAAAUGUUUAAACUUUUGCCAGGUUAUUAGCAUCUUCCAAACUAAUUUCACGUGGAAGUGUGGCAGAGUGGCAGACUCUUGAGCAUGUCACAGGCACCAGGUUUGGAGUCUCACGUGAUGCUUUCAGGUCAUCAGCACCACACAAACCCUGCACCUCUGCCAGCAAUAGCCCUGAACUAACAAAAACAGUGUGUCCUCGGCUUUGGGGGUGCUUUCUGUGAGGAUGUGGUUUUCCUCACUGUAAUCUUUUUCCCCAAACAAUACUAAAAAGGGGAAUCCUCUAAGCAUGGAAGACAGCCUCAAAUUGGAAGUGAAAUUCAGAUUUUGCUAUCCACUUUUUUAGCCCUCUCUUUCUCUUCUAGGGUUACUCUUGGCAAAUCUCCCUGCCUGGGAAGCGGUGCUGUGACCCCUGGCUCUCUGCAGUCACACCGCCCAGGUUUUACAUAAGUGCAAAGAGCAGUUUUACAAACGCCUGUAAUUUGGUUAUAUUUGGGGACAUUUUCACAUGACAAGUGAAAGGUCAAUUCUUUAUCCGGAGAAUCCCUUGCUAGCAAUUUUUAAGCCCUUGUUGCAAAGAAUUAGGGCACUAGAACAUUUCAAACCGAAGGGCUCAGGGAUUGUUUGAGAAACCCCUUGAGCAGCGUUUGUUCCCCAAGACCUCCUUCUCCACAACAGGCUUGAAAUAUACGAAAACCCCAGAUACUAAAAACUGCCUUUAGCAGGAAAGUGAAAGACUUUCUUCUCUAAAGCCACACACAAGCCAACCCUAAGGCCCAUGAUUAGCAUCAGUUAUUUCACCCGUAUGCCUGGAGGAAGGCAACAUUUUAAGCCCCUAAAGCCAUAUUCUUCAAAUAAGAAGUAUUUAAUAAUCUUUAUGAUAGACAGUAGUGCUAUCUCUGCCUUUAACGAAGCUUUUGUUCUGCUAAAUCUUAUUCACAGGCUUCAUUCUGAGAAUAUAUGUAAGUGUUGGCAGGACCAGUGACCCAUGUAACUGUAAUGCAGUGGGUUGCUAUAAAACAAGUGAGAGAAAUCUAAGGUUUUAUUCCGGCAGUCUUAGUGGAGGUGAAAUCAGUGUCUGCUAGCUGGAGCUAUGGGGUUUUUGUAGGAAAAAAUCCCCACUUGUAAUUUUCCCAUUAGGAAAUUUGCUGUAGAAAAGUAAUUUUUAAAAGAUCUGGAGGAAACCUCUUCUUCCCCCUAAUUUUUUAAGGUUUUUUCACUUUUUCUGCUUGAUUAAAGAAGAGAAAAAAAGAGAAACCUUAGUUAUUUUAAUAUAUUUCAUCUGGACUUCCUUUUUUUUCUGGAAAAGAUUUAGUAAGUAAGGUAUUAUUUGCGUUAUUUUCUUAGAGAGGGAGGGGGCUAACAAGCAAAAGUUUUAUUUUUAAAUGUGAAAAGCAAAACUUUUAAAAGCAAGACUAAAGCAAUUUAAAAAGUUUAAGAUUUUUAAAAAGCAAGGCUCUCUCUUAUAUGUAUUUUUUAAACAUCACUUGUUCAUGGGGAGGAGUAGCUUUUUUUAAAAGAGAAAAGGAAACAUUUUCAAUAAUCCCCAGAUUAAGAUGCUCAAAAUUUUAUUUUUGCAUAAAGUCUUUCAUUUUGAAUUAAAAAGUCCCAUUUGGCUGAAAAAACCCCUACUUUCAGAUAAAAUAGUGGCCUUCCUUAAAUCCCAGAUAUUCAAUGAAGAAACUUCAAAGUCUGCUUAGUUUAACUAUUCAAGGUGUAAAAUACAGUGUAGUGAAAGUGAGGGUGGCAAAAGGUGACCUUAAAAAUUUGCUAGCAUCUCUAGCCGUACGACUUUUCCUUCUAGGCUAUUUAAACACAUAGCAACAAUGGGAGAGCAGAAGGGUUUUCUGUGCUCAGAGAAAUGCGGACGGUGACAGUGAGUGAUUUUAUAGGAGGUGCUCAACCUGCUUAAUCUACCUUUUUUUUUCAGAUUUUAACAGACUUCAUGAAGCUUUAUUUAUGUAUUUACCUGUUGUUCUCCAUCAUUGUUUUAAAGUCAAACCAAUGGGACUGAGUGAGAUUGAGGUGGCCUAAACUGGCUGAGGCAGAUGUUUGCUUAUCAAAGAGCUGAUUUUGCAAUACUGUGCUAUCUCUCCCAGCAACAUCCCUCGCUAUGGUCCAGGUUCUGGGCCCAAAACCUUGAAGGGAAAGGUGAAUGUCCAUUUUGCAUAUCCCAUUUGUGCGCUAAAUGACCAUGGUAUCUUAAAUAGGGCUACGGUGGCAAUUAAAAUAAUGAGAUACAUAAAAGCCACCUGCUUUAAAUAAAUACAGUAAUCUGCCCAAAGCUCCCUGAAUGGACUGGUAUUCAGUGAGAGCCCUGAACCUGCAUACAUACCUAUGCUUAACAACAUAAUCAUUAAAGAACAGAAACCUUUCCUUCUAAUCCCCCUCAUACAGGACAACAUGUGGAUGUUAGCAUAUUUGGACUGCUUUGCAUUCCUUCUUGCCUGCUUUUGAGAACAUACUACAUUUUAAAACUUGUUGGGUUCUUUCAUGUUUUAUUUGACCCUAUGUAAUUGCAUUCCUGAAGGAAUAACAGGCUCCCACAGUGAUUUAUACCCUGUAUUAAAUGUCAGUUUUGAAGAGACACAGUUAGCAGUUUGGUUUAACCUCCUGCCUUCCUAUGUAAGUUCAAAAAUGAAGCGGAGCUCAGGAUCCAAGGGGAAAAGUAAAAAGAUGAAAAUGGACUUAGAGGCAGCAAGGAAUGAGAUGUAUGUGUUCCUGGCCCCGCACCUUUAGAAGCCACCGGAAUGAGAUUCCAUAAAGCUAUCUCUAUUUUUAACUGUAAUUUGUAUACUUCAUUGCUGCCCUUGACCAGUCGAGAAGGCUGUAAAUUAGCACUGCGAAACGCUCAGCUUUCUCCGGGCAGACGACUGCAGCGUCUCCAACAAUGGGCCAGAACAUUUUUCCUGCAAAAUCAACCAAAUCAACCAAGAAACCAACCCCCAGUGGGUUUGGCAUGUGUCCCAAUAAGAAGGUCAGCAAAAUAAAUUGUCCUUGUAAUUAAGAGUUGCUCCUUUGUUUUUAUGUGUUUAACUGCGCAUAAAUAGCAAAGCAGGAUAGGUAUGUUAUUACUGUUUUAAAUAUUUCAUUCCCUUUGUAGAUUUCCUUACGACAUAGUUAACAACUGCUUAAUCAUAUGUUAUGACCUAAUUAUGGGGGAUUCAGUUAAAUAAAUCUUGAUGUAAUGGUAUAUUCUUGAUGUAAUGGUACUCUGAUGGCUGCUUUUAUGUGCCUGUGUGCAUUUAAAUGUAAAAGUAAAUGCAGCCUGCGUAAGGAUCUGACACAUGACUUAAAUGGUCAUCAUCUUUAGAAUCACUGGCGAAACAAGUUACAAGGAGACUUCUUUUAAGCAAGAAUACUGUACAUAAAAACCUAUUUCCCAUACCCAGGAAACGAACAUCCUAGCGAUCACUUUCUUUAAUGUGCAACCGUAAUGUUUCAUUUCCCAGAAAGGAGAUUUAGCUGGAGCUGCUCCAAGGAGGAUUCUGUUUCCACACUGAAAGCAAUCAAAGUUUUGCUCAGAUUAGUUUUCCCUAAAUAACUUUGGCAAAGGUAUUUAAAUUAAUGCAAAACUUUUGUAGGAUCAGGCCGGGGGACCAUUGAUAGUUGUUCUGACAUAGGCAAAUGGCUAUAGUUUAUCAGCUGAACUCAAUCAGGGCAUUUCCAUUGCCUUCUCCAGAGCCUCACUUGUCCGACAGAUGAACGACGAGUACAGAUCUGGUCUGCUGUUUGCCAGGUGGGAAGGCUGACAGGGAUCUUUUAUUUUGAAAUGAAAAAUGUAAGUGAUAACAUUUUCUUAAGGUUGGAUUUAUCUUGCCAAAGGCGAGUGUCAUAAAGUCAAGGAAUAAGUUGCCCUCUGGAAACGCCUACCUCUGGUGACUAUUCAGGGAGCUAACAUGACUAGCUUAGACCUGAUGCUUGCCUUUCAGGUAGAUAGUUAGGUAAAAUGAAUCCUACCAUGGGAUGUAUACACGGUGUUGUGUAUCAGCCUCUCAACUUCUAGAUGUGCUGCCAGAUCACUGUAAAUAUUUGUGCCUUGGUGUGAGACACUCUGGGAUAGGUCCAUCACCCCCUAAAUACAGCUGGAAGACAAGAAUUUCGUGGUAAUCUGAGGGUAGAAGCCUGUGGGGUGCAAUUAAUAUCUCAGGAAUAUGGGAUCAGAUUUGCCUUUCAUAGCUUUAGAUGGCAGAAUGGGAGAUAUCCAUCCCUGCACUUGCCACACUUUGCCAUCAGUGGAGAGAAGUAGUCCUGUCUGAUGGGAUUAUUCCUGACAAUGUUAUCAGUCCAAAGUCAAAGGAGCAAGUCUUGAACUGGGGUGCCUGUCCUCAUGGCCAUGAGUCUUGGUUCCCCUACAUUCACUAGGAUCACCUACAGUGGCUGUCCAACUUCAGGAUCAUGAAUACCCAGUCCUAAACUGAUUAGCAUUUCCUCUCUGGUCUUUACUUUGCCAUUUGUGCUGCCAAGCCGGGACUGCAGGCUCCAAGGGCAGAGCAUUAUCUAUUCAUGCAUAAACCGAGAGCGGAGCUCAGCUCUGCCCAUUAUAGAGUGGGAAAACUUGAAGACGAACUUAAGUUAAGGCCCUUAUUCAAUGGGAUCUGGUUUAAACAGACCUGUGCACACCGUGGCAUGGUGGUUUGGUUAUUAUGUGACUUGGGUGGUGACGAUGUAGAAGUUAUACCCCAGGUAUAAAUCUGCUAGCCUUCCUGGUAGGUUUGAUUCAAGAAGGAGGUUAACCAAUAGCAGAAAAAGAAUCUUAAACCAGUGUGAGUAGAGAAAAAUCAAUUCCUAACCAGCAUCCAGUCAGUACUUGGUCUUAGUAAUAAGAAUUGGAGAACUGAGUGAGGAAUAUCUCCUGGAUUUCUCAAAUCUUUUAGAAAAUAUUAGGAUUUUGCAGCCAUUCAAGGCACUAAAAGCUAAAACAACACCAGCAGAGGGAGACAAACCCUGUUAUCAGGUGAGCCCUGUCUAGCAAGACCUGUAGGAUUCGCUGCUUUUUUAUAGGAAGCUGAACCAGCAACCUGAAGGCAAAACAUCUUUUGUGAAAUGCUGUGUGCCAUUAAUGCCUGCACAUAUUUAAUAGCAUGAACUUAGGGAUAAAGGAAGUUCUCUUAAAAAAAAAUCUUUUGGUACCAUACUGAAUGUUUCAUUGGUCUGAAAUAAAAUGUUUCAGUUUGGUGGGUUGCAUGUGUAUGGGCAUGUGCGUACGCAUAAAAUACGUUCAAAAUGCAGUUAUGCUAACAGUUUAGAAAAUUCAUUUCAGAUAAAAAAUCAGAACAUUUAAAAAAGAUUCACCUAAGUAUUCUUGCCUUCUUCUGAUUAUUUUUUCCCUUUCUUUGGAGGGUAAGCUGUCACUGGACUUGACACAAAUAUACCUUUAGGCUUGACCACUCCAAAACCGUGUUUCCUGGUGAAUGGGACAGCUCUUUGAAACAUUUUAAUCAGACCAAAUUGUGAUGGUUGUCAUCAAGUAAGAAAGCAACCCGGACUUCCACAGAUCCUAGAUUGCAGAGGACUACGCUGCUAAUGUUUCUAGGCAAGCGAAGCCUGCAGCAGCCUUUUGUUCUUGGUGGUUCAGAUGGGCGAAGCAUUGACUUGCAACUUCCCUGUUACUCAAAGCCUGUAUAAAUAGUAAAGCCAGCAGGAGCACCACACUGCAUGCUUUUGCUAACGCGAGAGAAAUGUUUUGUGCUAACAUCUGAUCCAGAUUCCUCAUUAAUGGACGCAGAAACAUGGCCUCAGUGUUCAGCCUGCAGAACAAUGAACCUAUAAACAUGGGACAGCGUAACUUCUCCUAGAGAGAGCUGAAGGGCCAAGAGCUUCUUAAACUGGAGUGCACCGAUGUACCUUGAAAAAGGAGUUCAGGAAGAUACAUGAAAAGAAAAAGAGGUGGAGUGUAGAAGCCACAGAAGGACAAGUUUCAGUCCCUGCACAGGAGAUGCUGAAAAGGAGGAGGCAAUGCUGGAGAUUUCUCCAGUCGAUCAGCUGAAUUUCCACCCGUACAGCUGGAUUUUGAUCCUAUAUUUCAGGCUGAAGCAUUCCUUACUUCUGCAGAGACUGCCCUAAUCAACAUCAGCAGAACCACCUGAGCCAUCAGCCAUCACCCAGCAGGGAAAAUGAUUAUGCGCUGUCUUGUCAGGCUUGUCAUGAAGGGUGACGUUCCCAGUGACCUGGUGCUUCGCUUGCAGAGGAGGCCAAUGGCCUCGCUGUCCAGGUGCAGAGAUCCCCGCAAGGUUUUUCACGGAAGUCAGAGGGGAAGAAACCUGGCAGCAGAGCCCCGGAUACGGCUGGGACUGGGUCACAGGCAAGAACCACACCAAUCCCCCUCUCACCCACGCGAGAUGUGAUGCAAGGGGAGGUGUGUCUUGUGUUGAGCAUAGACAUAAUGUUCUCUAUUUUUGAUGUGCUGGGUCUUUAAAGCGCACAAUUUUGUAUCUACCGCUGAAUUAAGCAGUGUUUGCUUUUCAAACCUUCCACAUUUGUAUUUUUAGCUCCAUUUUGGCAUUCACUUUUUUGGGUGGAAUAUAUAACACACUCGGUUGUUCAGCGCGCCUGGACCGAAUUCAGCCUAUGUGUAACUCCACGGGCUUGAGCAGAAGCUACGUUCAAGGUGAAUUACUCUCUAUGGAGCUAAGGAAAUACAGCUUCUGUAGACAUGCGUUUCAGCUCCCUCAGUAAAUGCUACACUAUUUCCAUCCACGGUUAUUCCUUUGUGGUUUGGGUUAUGUAUUUACAUUCUACCGAAUAAAUACUACAGCUUUCCCCAUGACUAACACUUCUUAGUAACCAAUAAGCUACUCAAAUACGCUAUUGCCUCCUACAAGAGCCUAAACCGCACU